UACGGGGGGGGCAAGCGUUGUUCGGAAUUACUGGGCGUAAAGGGCUCGUAGGCGGCCAACUAAGUCAGACGUGAAAUCCCUCGGCUUAACCGGGGAACUGCAUCUGAUACUGGAUGGCUUGAGAUCGGGAGAGGGAUGCGGAAUUCCAGGUGUAGCGGUGAAAUUCGUAGAUAUUCGCAAGAACACCAGUGGCGAAGGCGGCUCACUGGCCCGAUACUGACGCUGAGGUGCGAAAGCGUGGGGAGCAAACAGG
rnacentral:rRNA from 1 species